rnacentral:rRNA from 1 species
CGAGUGCCGUCCGCUGAGGGCGGCUUUUUACAUGGUAUAACCAGCCGAGUGAAUAAGGGGAGGGCAAGACUGGUGUCAGCCGCCGCGGUAAUACCAGCUCCUCGAGUGGUUGGGACGAUUAUUGGGUCUAAAGCGUCCGUAGCCGGCCGGAAAAGUUCUCCGUUAAAUCCAACGACUCAAUCGUUGGGCCGCGGGGAAUACUAUUCGGCUUGGGGGCGAGGGAGGUCGGCGGUAGUCUCGGGGUAGGGGCGAAAUCCUAUAAUCCCGAGAGGACCACCAGUGGCGAAGGCGGCCGACUAAAGCGCGCCCGACGGUGAGGGACGAAAGCUGGGGGAGCGAACGGGAUUAGAUACCCCGGUAGUCCCAGCUGUAAACGAUGCAGGCUAGGUGUUGGGUCGGCCACGAGCUGUCCCAGUGCCGCAGGGAAGCCAUUAAGCCUGCCACCUGGGGAGUACGGUCGCAAGGCUGAAUUCACUUGGAGCAUUUGCUCGAGUAACAGCUGACUUAAAGGAAUUGGCGGGGGAGCACCACAAGGGGUGAAGCUUGCGGUUUAAAAGGAGUCAACGCCGGGAAU